CGCCUGUCCCCACGCGGACCUGAGACUUCCUGCCCUCAAGGGCGUGGGACCCCUCUCUCAGCUCUGUCCCGGAGGGGCCCUGAGCUCCCGGGAGACACCCACCCGGCGGCUAGGGAGCACUGGGCGGUGGCCAAACCACCUCCAAAAUUUUGGGCCACGCCUGGGAUGGUAUCCAGGGGAGUGAAGCUUCUGCUUGAUAGGUGGGUGACGGGACCCAGGCCCUGGGCAGUCUCCACGGCUGGCCUCAUUCCCAUGCUGGACCAGGAGCUUACCAAGGUCCAGGGAGCAGCCACAGCCAACGGGCCACCCCCUGGGUCCUCACUGGCUUGCACCAUUGGACUAAAAAGGAGCUGGUGCAGGUGCGAGAGCCACAGGUUGGAGCCGGGGCACCUGGGGUCCAUUUCGAGCCGAGGCGGGGACGGAGGUCCAAAACAGCGACGCGGGGAGACACUGGUGCUGCUGGAGGGUCUCCCGCUCUGUGAACCGGCCGCUCAGUCCCCGUGUUGUCUGCAUAAGUCUCCUGGCUCAAGGCGGCAGAGGCGCGCUCAGAGGCGCUCGGAGGGGCCCCAGGAAACAAAUGUCCAUCAAGGCCCUCGGCUUGCCACUGAGGAAGCAGAGGUGAGGAUUUUAACCUAACCCCGUCCGGAAGGGCGGGCAGGGGUCCAGUUCAGUUCGAUUUUAUUUUCCCCGCCACCCACCACCACUCGCCUCUGGCCCUUUGGAUGGUUUUGUGGUGCUGAUUUGCUUUCACGUGCGGGGGUGGCGCGGGGAAGCGCGGGGAGCGAGAGGUUACCGUGGAUGGGCGCGCGGGCGGGCACGCGCCCCGGGGAGAUCGCUGGGGGCUGCAUGGCGGGGGAGCGCGCGGGCGGGCACGCGCCCCGAGGAGAUCGCUGGGGGCGGCGUGGCGGGGGAGCGCGCGGGCAGACGCUCGCCGGGGGUCGGUGGGGGAAGGGGUUUGGCGAGAGCACGCGGUGGGCACGCGCUCCGGGGCAGCGCGGCGGGGGCCGGAGGAGAGCUGUGGGUGUGUGUCUGUGUGUGGAGGCGUCCUCACUGCGCCGCCCUCUCCCCGAGUCUCUAGAACGCCUUCGGGUGCGGGUUGCGUCUCCAUCCUGGUCGAGGCUUGUGGGGUGUGUGUGUGUGGGGUGUGUGUGUGUGUGUGGGGUGUGUGUGUGUGUGUUUUUGGCGAAAGAGAACUUCCUUAAGUGAGGACGGCGGGGCGGCAUCUGCUGGCGGCUUGUGGCCCUUGGUGGGUGGGAGGUAGGUAGCGGAAGACCUGCCGGGGCAUACCCCGAAUUCAGCCCUAUUAAGCGGCUCUGCCGGGCAGGCGGUUCGUGGGGGCCAGGACGGACGGAGGCGGGCGCUGCGGGGUUUAGGGUGAACGCGAGCCAAAGCGGGGAAGGACGCGGGUGCAAGGGGCCGCUGGAUGGCCCGCGACGGCCGGGGGCACGGCGGGACCUCCAAGCGCGCGGCACCUCACAGGGCUCGGUCGGCGGGGACUCUGGGCGCCAGGGUUGACUUCCGCCCGGGGCGGACCUGCAGCACCUCCUGCCAGCCCCUCACCCUACUGCAGCCUCUUCCGGUCUUGGGAUCUAAUUUUUCUAGAACUAUGUCCAAGUGGGCUAAAUAGUUGCUAGAUUAAGCUUCAUCAAAGUAAUGGGAGACAGAAAGAGACCCAUUUAGUGUUAAG
rnacentral:lncRNA from 1 species